GGUGGCUCAGUGGUAGAGUGCUUGCCUUGCAUGCAUGAGGCUCUGGGUCCAAUUCCUCAGCACCA
rnacentral:tRNA from 1 species